UACGUAGGGGGCAAGCGUUGUCCGGAAUUAUUGGGCGUAAAGCGCGCGCAGGCGGUCAAUUAAGUUGGGUGUUUAAGCCCGGGGCUCAACCUCGGUUCGCAUCCAAAACUGGUUGACUUGAGUGUAGGAGAGGAAAGUGGAAUUCCACGUGUAGCGGUGAAAUGCGUAGAUAUGUGGAGGAACACCCGUGGCGCAAGCGGCCACCUGGCAGAGUUCUGACGCUGAGGCACGAAAGCGUGGGGAGCGAACCGG
rnacentral:rRNA from 1 species